ACGACUGAACAAAUUUUUUUUUAAGGGGAAAAAGUUCCAAACCACCCAUUUUGAAGAGAUUUAGGGUUCGGGGGUUGGUUAUAUUUAGGGAAGGUUUUAGCUCCCUAAAUAUUCGUAGUACUCUACGAGAACCUCUUGAUUUUAUUUAACUUUUUGUGCUUAAACUUGCUUGCUUUUAAAGAGAUGAAAAUGGAAUUGAAUGAUGAGUUGAAAAAGAAAAGAAAAUUGAUUUUAAUUGAAGAGAAAAAAGAAAAAUGUUUUUUAGNCUCAUCAUGAGGUGCUCCAAAGUAUUAUCAAACUUUGUAAUAUACAAUUACCAAAUAAAAGCUUGUCAGAUUGUUGUACUGCUUGUUGUCAUGGUGGUUCAUAGACUGCCAUCUUUUGCAUCUCAAAUGACAUAUACUAAACCUCUUGAAUUAAUUUUCUGUGAUCUUUAUCUUUGGGGACCUACACCAGUUGAAUCCUCCUAUGGAUAUACCUAUUUUCUUACUUGUGUGGAUGCUUAUUCUAGAUACACAUGUAUAUAUCCUCUAAAACUCAAAUCUCACACACUUUCUACAUUUCAGAAUUUUAAAACCAUGAUUGAAUUGGAGUUAAAUCACAAAAUUACUUCUGUCUAAACUGAUGGAGGUGGUGAGUUUUUACCUUUCACAAAAUAUCUCAAUAGCCUUGGCAUCACUCACAGAUUCACUUGUUCACACACUCACCAUCAAAAUGGCUAAGUUGAAAGGAAACAUAGACAUAUUGUUGAAACUGGUCUCACUCUUUUAUCUCAUGCACAAAUGUCAUUAAAGUUUUGGGACCAUGCCUUUUUAACUGCAACUUACCUUAUCAACAGGUUACCUACACCAGUUUUAGCAAAUAAAUCACCAUUUUUCUUACUUCACCUUCAAUUUCCAGACUAUAAAUUCCUUAAAAGCUUUGGUUGUGCAUGUUUUCCCUUUUUGAGACCCUAUAACUCUCAUAAGUUUGAUUUUCAUUCAAAGGAGUGUGUUUUCUUGGGAUAUUCCAACAGUCACAAAGGAUAUAAAUGUUUAGAUGCUUCAGGUAGAAUUUUUAUAUCCAAAGAUGUUGUGUUUAAUGAGGUAAAAUUUCCUUAUCUUGACUUGUUUCCAUCUCAGAAAGUGUGUUCUGUUUUACCAGAUGGUCCCACUUUAUCCACUUUUCUUCCCACUCCUGUCUCAACAACCUUUACUGUAAACUCACAUACUCCCCAAAAUUCUCAUUCUGAGUCUGGUCCUCACAUUGUUAACUCACCUACUCCCCAAACUUCUCAUUCCGAGUCUGUUCCUACUACUCCCAUAUCAAACACCCCUCAGACUCCAUCUAUUAGUUCUCAUCACUCCGAGUCCUCACACAGAAAUAAUGUGGUCCUAAAUCCCACACCCAUCACCAUUCUAUCUCCCUCUGCAUCUCAAAAUUCCUCACCUGAGUCAUCUGCUAGUGUUACUAGCUCUCAAUCUACUAAUUCUGAGUCUCCUCCUCCUGUUCCUCACAGAAUUCAUCCUCAAAACUGUCACACAAUGAGAACCAGAGGUAAACAUGGAAUUGUGCAGCCCAGAAUUAACCCUACACUCCUUUUGACUCAUGUUGAGCCCACUACUUACAAAACUGCUCUUCAGGAUCCUAAGUGGCAUUUAGCAAUGCAAGAAGAAUAUAAUGCUUUACUUCAUAAUCAGACAUGGUCUCUAGUAUCUCUUCCUGCAAACAGACUGGCCAUUGGAUGUAAAUGGGUAUUUAGGGUAAAAGAAAAUCCAGAUGGCACUGUAAACAAGUACAAGGCACGUUUAGUGGCUAAGGGUUUUCAUCAACAAGCAGGUUUUGACUACAAUGAGACUUUUUCCCCUGUAGUCAAACCUGUUACAGUGAGGACAGUUCUGACACUUGCAGUUACUUAUAACUGGACUCUUCAGCAGUUGGAUGUGAACAAUGCAUUCCUAAAUGGAGUGCUAACUGAGGAAGUCUACAUGGUGCAGCCUCCUGGCUUUGAAUCUUCUGACAAGAACCUUGUAUGCAAACUACACAAGGCUCUCUAUGGGUUAAAACAGGCUCCCAGAGCAUGGUUUGAGAGAUUGAAAUCAUCUUUACUUAGCUUUGGGUUCAAGUCAAGCAGAUGUGAUCCUUCUUUGUUUACUUUGCACACUCAAGCUCACUGCAUUUUUAUAUUGGUUUAUGUUGAUGAUAUUAUCAUCACUGGAAACUCAAAACUGGCUAUUCAGAAUCUAGUUCAUCAGCUCAAUUCUGAGUUCUCCCUUAAAGAUUUGGGUAUACUAGAUUAUUUUCUCGGCAUAGAGGUGCAUCACUCACCAUCUGGCUCUUUACUUCUUUCUCAAACCAAAUAUAUCAAGGACCUUCUUCAGAAAGCUAACAUGAUUAAUGCUAAUAGCAUGCCUUCACCAAUGGCAUCUAGUACAAAAUUGUCUAAAUUUGGUUCAAGUACAGUCUCAGAUCCUACAUUUUUCAGGUCAAUUGUUGGUGCAUUGCAAUAUGCAACCAUAACAAGACCUGAAAUAUCCUACUCUGUGAACAAAGUUUGCCAGUUUUUAUCAAAUCCCCUUGAAGAUCACUGGAAGGCAGUCAAGAGGAUACUUAGAUAUCUGCAGGGUACUUUACACCAUGGGUUAAUGCUUACACCUGCCAGCUCUACUGAACCUAUUGCAAUCACCGGAUUUUGUGAUGCUGACUGGGCUUCAGAUCCUGAUGACAGAAGAAGCACAUCAGGAGCCUGCAUAUUUCUGGGCCCCAAUCUAGUUUCCUGGUGGGCAAGGAAACAGACCCUUGUAGCUAGAUCUAGUGCAGAGGCUGAAUAUAGAAGCCUUGCACAAGCUUCGGCUGAGAUUAUUUGGAUCCAAUCUCUUCUCAAUGAAUUGCAAAUUAAGAGUAAAAUUCCUCAUGUCUAUUGUGAUAAUCUCAGUGCAGUUUCUCUUGCUCACAACCCAGUCCUGCACUCAAGAACCAAGCACAUGGAAUUGGAUAUUUUCUUUGUGAGAGAAAAGGUUAUAAGGAAGGAACUGAAUGUCUCGCAUGUGCCUGCUCAAGACCAGUGGGCAGAUGUCUUAACUAAGCCUCUGUCCACUGCCAGAUUCCUUUAUCUUAGAGACAAACUGAGGGUUUGUGACACCCUCCGUUUGAAGGGGGUCUGUUAGAAUAAUUAAUCAAGUACUUAGUGGAGAUAUUGAAAAGUUGUGACUAUUUAGUUUCAACUCCACUAGCCAUUGUAUUGAUUGUAUUGAUUAAUCUUCCUUAUUAAUUAGGGGUUAACUAGGAGACUCUUACCUAUAUAAAUGUACACUCUCACCACAUAAUAUGAUAUAAUAAACAUAUUUUCAGUUCUAAUAUGGUAUCUAGAGCUUCUUGAUCCAGAGCCAUGUCUACGUCUUCUCCCUCUGAUGCGCAACGCGUAACUGCUGCAGCAUCCAAAACCUUCAAACAAGUAGUUUCUGUUAAGCUUGAUGAUACGAACUACCUUCAAUGGAAGCAACAAGUCGAAGGUGUUCUUCGCGGAACGAAGAUGGUGAAAUUUGUGAUUUCACCUGAUAUUCCACCGGUUUUUCUCACAGAUGCAGCGCGCGAAGCUGGAACGGAGAAUCCUGCUUACACUGAAUGGGAAGAACAAGAUUCAUUGCUCUGCACCUGGAUUCUUUCAACGAUUUCGCCUUCGCUACUUUCGCGAUUCGUUCUCCUUCGCCACUCAUGGCAGGUUUGGGAUGAGAUCCAUAGUUACUGCUUCACGCAGAUGAAGACGCGUUCGCGUCAACUUCGAUCUGAACUUAGAUCCAUUACGAAAGGUUCACGCACUGUCGCUGAAUUCAUUGCUCGAAUUCGCGCAAUUUCAGAGUCUCUUGCUUCAAUUGGAGAUCCAGUCUCUCACAGGGACCUAAUUGAAGUUGUUCUUGAAGCACUUCCUGAAGAGUUUGACCCUAUUGUUGCUAGUGUGAAUGCAAAAUCUGAGGUUGUUUCUUUAGAUGAACUUGAAUCUCAGCUUCUCACACAAGAAUCUAGAAAGGAGAAGUUCAAGAAAGCUGCUAUCAGUGAACCUGUUUCAGUUAAUCUCACUGAAACUGCAAAUUCAGAAUCCCAAUCUCAUGGUCCUAAUUCUCAAAACCACAAUUAUACUGAUGGCACCGGAAACAAUCAGUUUCCUAACUCUAACCCUAAUUUUGGAGGAAGAAAUGGCCAGUUCAGAGGACGUGGUGGCCGUUUUGGUGGUAGAUUCAGAGGACGUGGUGGCCGUUUUGGUGGAAGAUCCAAUGUUCAAUGCCAAAUAUGUUCAAAAACUGGUCAUGAUGCAAGCUAUUGUCACUACCGUUUCUUUGCCCCACAAAAUGAUUACUACAGUCCCUAUGGCUCACCAGGAGGCUAUGGUGCACCUCCAAAUGUAUGGAUGCAGAACAUGUCACGUCCUCAACAUUCUGGACAGUUUCUUAGGCCUCCCACACAGGCUGCGAAUCAGAGAGGUCAAGCUCCCCAGGCCUUCUUAACUGGCUCAGAUCCAUACAAUUCAUUCAACAAUGCCUGGUACCCUGACUCAGGUGCUACUCAUCAUGUCACCCCUGAUGCAUCCAACCUCAUGGAUUCCACGUCUCUUUCAGGUUCUGAUCAGGUCCAUAUUGGAAAUGGACAAGGUUUGGCUAUUACCUCUGUUGGUUCCUUACAAUUUACUUCUCCUUUACAUCCUCAAACUACUCUAAAACUAAAUAAUCUCCUUCUUGUUCCCUCUAUAACCAAAAAUCUUGUUAGUGUGAGUCAAUUUGCUAAAGAUAACAAUGUUUACUUUGAGUUUCAUCCUAAUCAUUGUUUUGUCAAAUCUCAGGAUUCUUCUAAGGUGCUUUUAAGAGGUAUUCUAGGACAUGAUGGUCUCUAUCAAUUUGAGCACACCAAAUCAUUCAAGACCACUGCUCCUGUCUCUCAAAAUUCUAGUGUCAACACUGUUUGCAAUAAAGUUCCAGCACAAACUGAUAAUUCUGCCUCUUUUCAUUUAGGUCCCUCAACUGGUUUCAAUUUCAAUAAUUUUCAAUGCAAUAAUGUUGAACAUUUACCUAGUAGUUCAACAUCUAGUUCUACUCAGUCUUUUCCUUCCAUGUAUGGUAUCUGGCAUAGCAGACUUGGACAUCCUCAUCAUGAGGUGCUCCAAAGUAUUAUCAAACUUUGUAAUAUAAAAUUACCAAAUAAAAGCUUGUCAGAUUUCUGUACUGCUUGUUGUCAUGGUAAGGUUCAUAGACUGCCAUCUUUUGCAUCUCAAAUGACAUAUACUAAACCUCUUGAAUUAAUUUUCUGUGAUCUUUGGGGACCUGCACCAGUUGAAUCCUCUUGUGGAUAUACCUAUUUUCUUACUUGUGUGGAUGCUUAUUCUAGAUACACAUGGAUAUAUCCUCUGAAACUCAAAUCUCACACACUUUCUACAUUUCAGAAUUUUAAAACCAUGAUUGAAUUGCAGUUAAAUCACAAAAUUACUUCUGUCCAAACUGAUGGAGGUGGUGAGUUUUUACCUUUCACAAAAUAUCUCAAUAGCCUUGGCAUCACUCACAGAUUCACUUGUCCACACACUCACCAUCAAAAUGGCUCAGUUGAAAGGAAACAUAGACAUAUUGUUGAAACUGGUCUCACUCUUUUAUCUCAUGCACAAAUGCCAUUAAAGUUUUGGGACCAUGCCUUUUUAACUGCAACUUACCUUAUCAACAGGUUACCUACACCAGUUUUAGCAAAUAAAUCACCCUUUUUCUUACUUCACCUUCAAUUUCCAGACUAUAAAUUCCUUAAAAGCUUUGGUUGUGCAUGUUUUCCCUUUUUGAGACCCUAUAACUCUCAUAAGUUUGAUUUUCAUUCAAAGGAGUGUGUUUUCUUGGGAUAUUCCAACAGUCACAAAGGAUAUAAAUGUUUAGAUGCUUCAGGUAGAAUUUUUAUAUCCAAAGAUGUUGUGUUUAAUGAGGUAAAAUUUCCUUAUCUUGACUUGUUUCCAUCUCAGAAAGUGUGUUCUGUUUUACCAGAUGGUCCCACUUUAUCCACUUUUCUUCCCACUCCUGUCUCAACAACCUUUACUGUAAACUCACAUACUCCCCAAAAUUCUCAUUCUGAGUCUGGUCCUCACAUUGUUAACUCACCUACUCCCCAAACUUCUCAUUCCGAGUCUGUUCCUACUACUCCCAUAUCAAACACCCCUCAGACUCCAUCUAUUAGUUCUCAUCACUCCGAGUCCUCACACAGAAAUAAUGUGGUCCUAAAUCCCACACCCAUCACCAUUCUAUCUCCCUCUGCAUCUCAAAAUUCCUCACCUGAGUCAUCUGCUAGUGUUACUAGCUCUCAAUCUACUAAUUCUGAGUCUCCUCCUCCUGUUCCUCACAGAAUUCAUCCUCAAAACUGUCACACAAUGAGAACCAGAGGUAAACAUGGAAUUGUGCAGCCCAGAAUUAACCCUACACUCCUUUUGACUCAUGUUGAGCCCACUACUUACAAAACUGCUCUUCAGGAUCCUAAGUGGCAUUUAGCAAUGCAAGAAGAAUAUAAUGCUUUACUUCAUAAUCAGACAUGGUCUCUAGUAUCUCUUCCUGCAAACAGACUGGCCAUUGGAUGUAAAUGGGUAUUUAGGGUAAAAGAAAAUCCAGAUGGCACUGUAAACAAGUACAAGGCACGUUUAGUGGCUAAGAGUUUUCAUCAACAAGCAGGUUUUGACUACAAUGAGACUUUUUCCCCUGUAGUCAAACUUGUUACAGUGAGGACAUUUUUGACACUUGCAGUUACUUAUAACUGGACUCUUCAGCAGUUGGAUGUGAACAAUGCAUUCCUAAAUGGAGUGCUAAUUGAGGAAGUCUACAUGGUGCUGCCUCCUGGCUUUGAAUCUUCUGACAAGAACCUUGUAUGCAAACUACACAAGGCUCUCUAUGGGUUAAAACAGGCUCCCAGAGCAUGAUUUGAGAGAUUGAAAUCAUCUUUACUUAGCUUUUGGUUCAAGUCAAGCAGAUGUGAUCCUUCUUUUUGCACACUCAAGCUCACUGCAUUUUUAUAUUGGUUUAUGUUGAUGAUAUUAUCAUCAUUGGAAACUCAAAAUUGGCUAUUCAGAAUCUAGUCCAUCAGCUCAAUUCUGAGUUCUCCCUUAAAGAUUUGGGUAUAGUAGAUUAUUUUCUCGGCAUAGAGGUGCAUCACUCACCAUCUGGCUCUUUACUUCUCUCUCAAACCAAAUAUAUCAAGGACCUUCUUCAGAAAGCUAACAUGAUUAAUGCUAAUAGCAUGCNNNNNNNNNNNNNNNNNNNNNNNNNNNNNNNNNNNNNNNNNNNNNNNNNNNNNNNNNNNAAAAAAAGAAAAUUGUUUUUUAAUUGAUUUGGAAGGACAAGGUCCUCUGCCUACGUACCCGUGAGGGAUCAAAACCUCGUAGUUCGGGGUAGAAAUUGACGUUUGAUUUGUUUUUGUAUUUUUUAAUUAGUUUUGAAAAAGGUUUUGAAAUAAAAAGCCAAGUGGCAAAUGAGAAUUGAUUUGUGUUUUUUAGAUUGAAAGAAAUUGACUUGAAGUUGAAUUAGAAUUGAUUUGAAAUUUGAUUAAGAAAAAUAAAAUAAAAAGACGGUCACUUGAUUUAAGAUCAAGGUUUAUUGUGAAAAGUUCUUUUUACGAAUUUCUGAUAUUUGAAUGUUUUUGUUGUUUUUGAAUAAUAACUGAAAAUUAAACUAAUAGAGCAAUAAAAAAUAAAAGUGUGUGGGUGUGAAGAAAAGAUUGUUAGUUAAACAAUAUAAAUAGUAUUUAAUAUAUGUAGGACCAGAAUAUUCUGGAGAAUGAUUAAAUUAAACAAAAAUAUAAUAUUAACAGUUAAUUUAGGACUAGAGCACUCUGGAUUAAUUUAAUUAACAAUGACCAUAUCACUCUGGAUUAAUUUAAUUAACAAGGACCAGAUUGUUCUGGAGAAUAAUUAAAUUAAACAAAAAUAUAAUAUUAACAGUUAACAUAGGACCAGAGCACUCUGGAUUAACAGAUAGAGAGAAAAUUAAAAUGCAUGAAAAAGGAAAUAAAAUUAGAUGCUGGGGAGUGCAGGAAGUAAACAGGGGGGUGCAGGAAGUAAAUAGGGGGUGCAGGAAUAAAAUAAAAGAGAUUUGAGCUUGGGCCUUAGAAAAAAACGUAUGGGCCUGGAUUAGACCGGUUUAAAGGUUGAACCGGUUCAAUCCCUUUAUAAAUAGCCAGCUCCGGUUUUUUUAUAUUCAUUUUUAUUUCUCUUUCUCUCUCUUCUCUUAUUUCUAGAGAGAGAAGCUCUGCCUUCUAUCUAGAAUUUCUUCAUCUUCUCCGACGAGAAGAGGCUACCGGAUAUGGUUCCGGCGCGGUGGUCGGCGAGUUUUCGCGGCGGCGCCACCGCGCCGGAGUUAAAAACUCCUCUUUUUUUGAUUUUUUUUUACCAAAAGAUUACCCUUUCCUUUCUCCUUUCUUUUUUGAAAAUGGUUUUUUGAAAUGAGCUUUAACGGACCCUAGAUCUAAGAUUAGAAAAUACUACCUUUAGUUUUUUGAAAAAGAAAUUGGUUGUUAUGUGUUUGAAAGGGUUUCGGCCGGUUUUUGUAGCUUGUUGAACGAUUGGUUGUUGUUAGUUUGAGACAGGUUUGGAUUUGUGUUGCAGGUUUUGAUGUUUGUGAAUGGGGUUUGAUUCGAGUAUGAUGGUUUGGAAUUAGGAUUGUGGAUACGUGAUUCUGAUGUUGUGGUUUUGGUUUCUGGAAAUUUGUUGUGUUGAAGAAUUGUUUAUGGCUGGAAUUUUCUAGUUGGUUUCCAGUGUAUUUGAGCGUGUUUUUUUUGUUUUUUGGCUCUUGUUGUUGUUUUUUCCUGGUUUGUGUGUUGUAUUUAUAGAACUGGAUUGGAGACAUGGAACCUGUUAAAGGACAGACAGUAACUGCCUUGGCUUGGGAUUAAGGGGACAUGAAUGGGCUGGCGACAGCUGUGUGGAUUGGAACAAAAAAAUAUGAUAUUUUUGGACAUAAAAAAUAAAUAAUAAUAAAAAAGAAAAAAUAGAAAGACUAAAAAUAAAAACUAAAUGAGUUAAUUAAAUUAAAAGGAAUUUAAAUAAAAGAUGGAAACUAAAAAAUAAAUAAAAAAUGAAAAUUGAGAGAAGAGGGCCCGACUCGGAACUAAAAUAUGAGGUAUUUUAAAAUACCUCCCUGCCCCUAUUUAAAUUUCUUCGUCCGGAGAUUUGAAGAUGGAAUCUUUGAUUUGACGGGUCGAAGAGACUUAAAUACAGAGUACACAAUUUUUGACCUAAGAUGUUAUGAAUGCAUGCGAUGCAAUUAUGAAUGCAUAUGAGGCAAUUAUGAAUGCAGGACGACAUAGAUGGCUUGAAUGGAAUGUGAAACAACAAUGGGAUACCCAAACUUGUUGAAGAAAGGGAUCCGACUCCGCUUGGGGGAAUGUAGUUUCACUGGGAAAAAAAGUUAUAAUCGUAUUGGUUUGGAAUGAUAGCUUAAUGGAGGCACGUGGCUAGCCACUUGAAAUUGAUUGAAAAUAGAUCCAAGCUGUCCUUUUUUCGGAAACUAGCCGCUUGAAAUUGACUAGAAAUAUAUUCAAGCUGUCCUUUUGUCGGAAACUUGAUGCUUGAAAUUGACUGGAAAUAGAUUCAAGUUGUCCUUUUGUCGGAAACUUGCUGCUUGAAAUUGACUGAAAAUAGAUUCAAGCUAUCCUUUUGUCGGAAACUUGCCGCUUGAAAUUGACUGAAAAAUAGAUUCAAGCUGUCCUUUUGUCGGAAACUUGCCGCUUGAAAUUGACUGAAAAUAGAUUCAAGCUGUCCUUUUGUCGGAAACUUGCCGCUUGAAAUUGAUUGAUCCGUGACAUCUCUCAACCAGACACACUGGGGAUGACACUUUUGAAAUUGAAAUUUAGUAUUGAAAUCUGACACUGAAAUUUGAAUAGUGACAUGACACAUUUGAAAUUGAAAUUGAUUAGUGACAUCAGUGGCACAGCUUUCGCUGGGGAUGACACCAUUGGAAUUGAAAUUGAAACUUGACUAGUGACAUCAGUGGCACAGCUUUCGUUGGGGAUGACACUUUUGAAAUUAAAAUUGACUAGUGGCAUCAGUUGCACAGCUUUUGCUAGGGAUGACACUUGUGAAAUUGAAAUUGAAAUUGACUAGUGACAUCAAUGGCACAGCUUUCGCUGGGGAUGACACUUUUGAAAUUGAAAUUGACUAGUGACAUCAGUGGCACAGCUUUCGCUGGGGAUGACACCAUUGGAAUUGAAAUUGACUAGUGGCAUCAGUGGCACAGCUUUCGCUGGGGAUGACACCAUUGGAAUUGAAAUUGACUAGUGGCAUCAGUGGCACAGCUUUCGCUGGGGAUGACACCAUUGGAAUUGAAAUUGACUAGUGGCAUCAGUGGCACAGCUUUCGCUGGGGAUGACACCAUUGGAAUUGAAAUUGACUAGUGGCAUCAGUGGCACAGCUUUCGCUGGGGAUGACACCAUUGGAAUUGAAAUUGACUAGUGGCAUCAGUGGCACAGCUUUCGCUGGGGAUGACACCAUUGGAAUUGAAAUUGACUAGUGGCAUCAGUGGCACAGCUUUCGCUGGGGAUGACACCAUUGGAAUUGAAAUUGACUAGUGGCAUCAGUGGCACAGCUUUCGCUGGGGAUGACACCAUUGGAAUUGAAAUUGACUAGUGGCAUCAGUGGCACAGCUUUCGCUGGGGAUGACACCAUUGGAAUUGAAAUUGACUAGUGGCAUCAGUGGCACAGCUUUUGCUGGGGAUGACACCAUUGGAAUUGAAAUUGACUAGUGGCAUCAGUGGCACAACUUUCGCUGGGGAUGACACCAUUGGAAUUGAAAUUGAAACUUGACUAGUGACAUCAGUGGCACAGCUUUCGCUGGGGAUGACACUUUUGAAAUUAAAAUUGACUAGUGGCAUCAGUUGCACAGCUUUUGCUGGGGAUGACACUUUUGAAAUUGAAAUUGAAAUUGACUACUGACAUCAGUGGUACAGCUUUCGCUGGGGAUGACACUUUUGAAAUUGAAAUUGACUAGUGACAUCAAUGGCACAACUUUCGCUGGGGAUGACACCAUUGGAAUUGAAAUUGAUUAGUGACAUCAGUGGCACAAAUUUCGCUGGGGAUGACACUAUUGGAAUUGAAAUUGAAAAUUUAUUAGUGACAUCAGUGGCAUAGCUUUCGCUGGGGAUGACACUUUUGAAAUUGAAAUUGAAAAUUGAUUAAUUGAGGAAUGAGACGAAAGGAUACAGCCAAACAAGACUAUGGGCGAACUGAUGCGGCCAUGUAUGGAUGAUGUUGUGGAUAUGCUGUGUACGCAUGGACGUAUGAAUAUGUGAAAAUAUUGAUGAAUGCAUGAUUGUAUGAAUGUAUGGAUGUGUGAAUAUGUGAAUGUGUGAAUAUGUGAAAGUGCAACUGUAUGACUGUAUACGACAGGUAAACUCGAUGAAAUGAGACAAGAUAUGUAAGAUGAGAGGCGGACUGAUAUCGCAGUACAAACACUCGGCAAACUUCUUUGAAGAUGAUAUUACUGUGAACAAAUUGAACCGUUGACGGGGUAAAACCCAGCACAAGGUAGCAACUGAUGUCUCUUGGGGAUAAAGCCCAUUGUUGACCAAAAGUCUGGAAGAAGUCGCCAUUUGUAAACUGGCACAGAGUGUUCUUCCACUGGCAUGCUUCAACAGUCAUUUUUUUGUUUUUUUUUUUUAAAAUCCCUAACUUUUGCCUGGACUGCCCUUUCGGGUUUUCAGUCCACCGGGAGUAUAUUCCUUUUUUAUGCCCCUAAUUUUUGCCUGGACCGCCCUUUUGGGUUUUCAGUCCACCGGGACGCUCUCUAUUGCCUAAGCCGCCUUUUCAGGUUUUCAACUUAGCGAGCUUUGAUUUUUUUUUUUGUAUUUCCUUUUUUUUUUUUUUUGCAUUUUUCGACUGUGACAGCUUCCUGCUCAAGGCAGAGGUCCUUUCCAUAAUGCUUAGCCCUGUUUCUCUUCUGGAGUGUAACCGUUUUCGAGGCGAAUGUUGAUGUACGCUUUAGCUACUCAUGAGUUCAAAGAGAGUGUGCCUGUUGUUCACAAUUUUCCAAAGAUGUAAAAAUGUUUUGUAUUUUGAAAUUUUUUGCUUUAAGUAUUGCCAUCAAAAAUAGAAGAAAUUAUGCAAAUAGAAUAAAUGAGAGUUCCAAAUAAAUGGGUACAGGCUCGAAUUUGAUGAAUUGAGUGGUGACCUGCCAAGGGCAUGGCUCCACGGAUUUUGAAAAUUUUGGAAAAAUGGUAAAUGUAAUGGGAAGGGUACAUUGAACACAAUAACCGCUGUUCUCCCCAAAAACUUUGAAUGCCCCUGUUUCGAGUCAUUGAUUUGUAGAUGCUUCGAGUCGGAAGUCUUUUGAUAGUUGGAUGCCCCAAGUGGAUGGUGCCUGACUGAUGCAGUUACUUUGUCUUUUGAUCCUUAACUUUUGCAUAGAUCACCCUUUCAGGUUUUCAAUCUAUCAGGAUAAUCAUUUUUGUUCAUGUCUCUAAUUUUUGCCUGGACCGCCCUUUUUGGUUUUCAGUCCACCGAGACGCUCAUUUUUGCCUAAACCGUCUUUUCAGGUUUGCGACUUAUCGAGCUUUUAUGUUUGACAGAGUAUUUCUUGACUGCACCGGCAUGAGUUUGUCACCAUUUGUAGUCACAAGAGUCAUUGCACAUUGGGCCUUCACAGUUAGGCGUCCACUUGCCCUUGGAGUCUGAUUGGAAAGAUAGUAUCUUUUUAGCACAAAGUCUCUUUCUUGAAUUUCACGGGGACGAACCUUCUUGUUGGAAGUUUGUUUCAACCUCUUUUGACAUGGUUGUACAAGGUCGUCAAGCAUUUUAAGUGCAAUCAAGCUUGGACUUCGACAGAACUCCUAUAGUUGGGACUUCGACCUCCCUGGGAAGCAUGGCCUUCAUGUUGUAUACCGAAUGGAUGGAGGGGGGGUUUCCCCUGUUGAAGUGUGUAUUGAAGUAUUAUACUCAUGAAGUGCGGAUGGUAGCAUCUUGUGCCCGUUUUUGCAAAUGAAAGUCAUCUUCUUGACAUUUUUCUUGAUAUUUUUGUUUGCAGCUUCGACAGCUGAGAUGCCCCAGUAUGCGAGAGAUCUCAUCGGGAGUCUCUUCAUUUCCUUUUUCUUUCAUCUUCAGACAUAGGGAACUCAAAGUUGGAAGAGAGUACAUGGUUACUGUGUUCAACGAGUUUAUUAAUGCAUGAUUUGAUUAUUGAUUUUGACAAGUAUGUAUAAGUUAUGAUUAUGCAGAUAUUUGAAAAUGAUUAUCAUUUUUUGGUUUUUUUUUGUUUGUAUUUACCAUUUUUCUAGAAAAAACACAAAAUAAAGAGCAAAGUCACGAUCGAAGCGACUUUUAUUAAUGAUGGAACAUGCCUGAAGCAAAAAGCCCUAAAUAAGUUCACUUUCGUCUUGGGCGGGACGAAAGGAUUUUUUUGAAAAGCAGUAAACAACAACAAACACAUUAUUUGAACGGAUGGGUAGUAGAAGGAACAUCAACGUGACCCAAUUGCGAUUAUCCGCUCCGUGUGUCACACCAUCAAGUACCCUGAUCCGGUAGCGGGUUGACUUGCACAUUCGGGUUCAAUUCUUUUUGUCUUGAACCAGCUUCUGGAUUUCGGCUUUCAAAGCGUAACAAUGCUCAAUGUCAUGGCCGGGUGCCCCUUGAUGAAAGGCACAUGAGAGAUCAGAUCGAUACCCAGCUGGCAAUUUGUCAGGCACCCGAGGAGGCGCUCUAGUUUGGACCAGGUUCUUCUCAAGCAAAAUUGGGAGCAACUCCGCAUAUUUUAUGGGAAUUGGAUCAUAACUUGCUCUCCGAGCCUGAUUCUGUGGAUUAGAUUGUUGAGGGGCCUGUUGUCGAGGCUGCUGCGUGUAUGACGUCUGACGUGGUGGUUGGGGCCUUCGCUGGAAUUGUGGUAGAUCUUUUGUAACCGUCAGCGAAGAUAACCGGUUGGUUAAUUCCUCUACCUUGGCCCGAAGCGCUGUCAUUUCUUUACGAAGCUCAUGGACCUCUUGUUCAAGUUGAUCCAUUUUAUGUGUUUGCACGAGUGUUUGCAUAUGUGAGCUGUGAUUGAACGAAGACAUCGUACCACUUUUGACCUUUUAUGGAAAAGAAGAUCUGUGUGAGACUUGGAUUUGAGACUAUGAAAUGCAAGAUGAUGCAUGAUAUGCUUAUGCAAAAAUAGACACAUUUUUUUUAGAGGACUUAUAAACGUAAUUUUGUAAACAUCAUAAUUGAAAAUUUCAUUGAAUAACAAAGCCAAGGGAUAGACUCUUUGAAGUACAUAAAGAUAAAACAGUUGGGAAACUCCUGAGCCCGGAAAGUAGACUACUCCUCGAAAUCUGAAUGUGCACCAUCAAACAAAUCCAUGAAAUCCAUACGCUGCUUCUUAGUGAUAUGUUUUCCAAGCAAUCUGUCCUUCUCCUUGAGUAGAUCGUCUCUCUUGAUCAUUUGUUGCCUCAUCUUGCUGAGCUCAUGAUCUUUCUGUUCUACUUGUCCCUUUAGAGUCUCAAUCUUGUUCUUGGCUUCCAUAUAUCUCAUUCUCCAUAUGUCCUUUUCUCGUGUCAUCUCGGUCAACAGAUACUGAGCUUCCUCUUUGGUUUUAGAAGUCAUGGGUAAGGAUGGAGAUGGGGUAGUUGAAGAUGGGAGUCUUUGUAGAGGAUAAGGUAUUCCAUUUUUUGCAGCUCUAUCAAUGACCCACUUAGUGUAAGAUUCAUAGAUCAAACCUGACCUCCUUCCUAACUGACCUUUUUCCCUCUUAUGAACUGCACGCCAAGCUUGUAUAAAUUUUCCUCUCAUGCCCUUGCUAUCCUCUUGGUUGAGGUAGAAUAUCUCGUCUAGUGAGAUAUCCUUUGGUUUCUCCAUUGGGUACCCAAACUGACGCCUGGCAAGAAUAGGGUUAUAGCUAAUUCCCCCACAUAUACCGAGAAGAGGUACGUUAGAGAAUUCUCCACAACUGUCAAUGAUUGUUCCGGUGUCAUAAUUUCGGUUGUACCAAACUAUAUCAGAUGGAGCGAGGGACAUGGUUUUUUGUGACCAAAGGGUGUUUUCUGGAUUGGUUUUGAAGUGAUUGGGUAAAUGUAAGGUAAACCAUUUGUACAACAAGGGUGCACAACAAAGUAUAGUUCCUUGCCCUUUUUGGGUUCGAUCAUGGAUGGAGAGGUAUGUAUCGGCAAGCAAAGUGGGGACGGGGUUUUUGGCUAGGAAUAUUUUGAUGGCAUUAAUAUUAACAAAGUUGGCGACAUCUGAGAAAAGCAAAAGAACAUAUAUGAGUAGGGCAAGGAUGGAUUCAAAGGCAUCAAUACUGCCCAUAUCGGCGAAAGCGACGGCUUUUUCAAAGAGGAAUUUGGCAGGUAGACCUAGAAGGCCUCCUUUGGUGGUAAGUUUAGCCGUUAUAAUGGAUGUUUCAAGGUGAAGGGCCUUUGCAAUGGUUGCGUGUUUAGGAGCAGGCUCAAGGCCGUUGAACGGUUCUUCGUUAGACACCGGUAUACCGAUCAGGUAGGAGUAUUCCUCAAGGGUGGGGACAAGUUGGUAGUCGAGGAAAGUGAAACAAUGGCAAUAAUGGUCAUAGAAUUGGACCAAAGUAUCGAGGAUCCCUUGUACCACCUUCGUCUCGAGGAGGUUAAGCAGUCUUCCAUGGCGAUUUUGAAAAUCUCCCGGAUUAGUCACCCUUUUCCCUAGCUCCUUUAGGUUUGACAAAUCUGGGUUUCGGAAAUAGUACUUCCUAGUGCUUCUUGUCACAGGAUUCAUACCUAUGAUGUUUACAAAAGAUUUGUUUUAGUCCUUCGAUAUUUUGAUGAGAGAAAAAAAAAGUUAUUUAUGAAUGAAUGCAUGUAUGCAUGAUUAUGCUGUACAAACGGUGAAAACAUGGUGAGGUUUAAGGCCCAUAACGAUGGAGUCAAGGGUAUAACGCCAUUUGGUAAGGACUAUGGUUUCAUUUGUACCUGUAUCACGGGUUCUACCAAGUUCCCAAAGUCUACAACCACUUCCAAAUAUUAUCAGGUUACAAGAUUACUAUUGAUCCAAUGACAUUUGUAGGAAAGUCUCGUUUGGGUGUAGUAUCGCGUAUCAACUAAUUCAAGAUUACUCUUGAUUAGCCACCGCACUACGUCCUAAAAGGCCAAGAUGGGUUAAAGGUAACUAAAGGUCCUCAACUUCGACGGUUUACUUGAAAAUAAUAGUGUCAAACACGAUUACUCAUGUCAACAUAGUAUUACUUCCAAGAACCUCCAUUGAGCGCGAUUAUCACAUGUACUAACACUCAAGAUUACUCUUGGAAUAGCACUUUGAUUAUAUCACCAUCCUAUCUUAAUGUUUCCCUCAAGCCCGGGUGUAGGACUUAUCUCACCACUCCCGUUUAAAAGAAGAAAGAAAAAGAAAGAACAUAUAUAUACUCAUAUUUCCAUCUUUUAUUUUUUUGAUUUGUAAGCAAGUUAUGGCACAAAAUUUAAAUAAAGUCAAGUUAGGCUCAACCCUCUUAGGGGGGGUCCCCAGUGAAGUCGCCAUUUCUGUCGCGCCAUUUUUCGGAUGUCAAGGCCAUUUGAUUAGCUUUUGACUCACUUUUUAUCUCACGACUGAACAAAUUUUUUUUAAGGGGAAAAAGUUCCAAACCACCCAUUUUGAAAAGAUUUAGGGUUCGGGGGUUGGUUAUAUUUAGGGAAGGUAUUAGCACCCUAAAUAUUCGUAGUACUCUACGAGAACCUCUUGAUUUUAUUUAACUUUUUGUGCUUAAACUUGCUUGCUUUUAAAGAGAUGAAAAUGAAAUUGAA
rnacentral:lncRNA from 1 species